AGAACAAUGGAAGGGAAGAAGGAAAGGAGGGGCUGAGGAAGGAAACAGACACUGACCAAAGCCCAGAGGUUGGAAACCAUGGCCACAUAAGACACGCUGGCUUCUCCUUCGCUUUCCACCAUGAUUGUAAGUUUCCUGAGACCUCCCCAGCCAUGCUUCCUGUAUAGCCUGCAGAACUGUGAGUCAAUUAAACCUCUUUUCUUCAUAAAUUACCCAUUCUCAGGUAUGUCUUUAUAGCAGUGUGAAAACAGACUAAUAUAGGCACCCUCCUAUGUGCCCCUGUGCCCCUAUAAUACCUUAUAUUUCCCACCCACUCCCCAUGCCAAUGAUAACACUAUAUUGCAUUUGCCAUUUUAAUUGAGAAAUAAGUUGGUCAUUUUUUGUCUUUGAAUAUCCAAAAUAGAUGUUUAAUCAAUGUUUCCUGAAAUAAAACAAAGGAACUCACAGCCUAGCACCUUCACAUAAGGUCGUCUGUGGAUAGGCAUUGGCUGUGCAACAGAAAGAAGCCCCAGAUGUCUGCUCUCCUGGGGCCUCCCACCCUCCUGGAUACAAACAGAAAGAAGCCAACACCACUUCAUGCACACUUCUGACUCUCAAUGCAGAAGCUAAGGGGGAGAAGAGAUCCCAAUAGACAUUAUAAAUUCCUCAGGAGCCAUGGCCUAAAAGCAACUCUUAAAAGCAGAGAUGAAGAGAAAAGAGUGAGUUCAAAAGAUAGAGCAUGAGAAAGACCCCACCCGCUAUUACUGGCUUUGAAGAUGGAGAGAAGAGGCCACAGGCCAAGGAAUGCAGCAGCUUCCAGAAGCAUGAAAGAGCCCUUAGGUUACAGCCAGCAAGGGAAGGAGACUGUGACCCUACAGCCACAAGACUUGACUUCUGCCAACAGCCAGAAGGAGCAGGAAACACGUUCUCCCUGAGAGCCUCCAGAAAGGAACACAGUCUGCCCACACCUUAAUUUUAGCCUGGGGAGGCCCAUACCAGGUCUCUGCUUUACAGAAUUGUAAGAUAAUA